rnacentral:rRNA from 1 species
AGUGAACGCUGGCGGUAGGCCUAACACAUGCAAGUCGAACGGCAGCACAGUAAGAGCUUGCUCUUACGGGUGGCGAGUGGCGGACGGGUGAGGAAUACAUCGGAAUCUACUUUUUCGUGGGGGAUAACGUAGGGAAACUUACGCUAAUACCGCAUACGACCUACGGGUGAAAGCAGGGGAUCUUCGGACCUUGCGCGAUUGAAUGAGCCGAUGUCGGAUUAGCUAGUUGGCGGGGUAAAGGCCCACCAAGGCGACGAUCCGUAGCUGGUCUGAGAGGAUGAUCAGCCACACGGAAACUGAGAAACGGUCCAGACUCCUACGGGAGGCAGAAGUGGGGAAUUUUGGACAAUGGGGGCAAGCCUGAUCCAGCCAUACCGGGUGGGUGAAGAAGGCCUUCGGGUUGUAAAGCCCUUUUGUUGGGAAAAAAAAGAAGCAGGUUAAUACCCCGCUGUUCUGACGGUACCCAAAAAAUAAGCACCGGCUAACUUCGU